rnacentral:rRNA from 1 species
UACGUAGGGGGCAAGCGUUGUCCGGAAUCAUUGGGCGUAAAGCGCGCGUAGGCGGCCCGAUAAGUCCGCUGUAAAAGUCCAGGGCUCAACCCUGGAAAGCCGGUGGAUACUGUCGGGCUAGAGUCCGGAAGAGGCGAGUGGAAUUCCUGGUGUAGCGGUGGAAUGCGCAGAUAUCGUAAGGAACGCCAGUGGCGAAAGCGGCCAUCUGGAUCACAAUUGACGCUGAAGUGCGAAAGCGUGGGUAGCAAACAGG